rnacentral:rRNA from 1 species
GACGAACGCUGGCGGCGUGCUUAACACAUGCAAGUCGAACGGUGAAGCGAGUGCUUGCACUCGUGGAUCAGUGGCGAACGGGUGAGUAACACGUGAGUAACCUGCCCAUCACUCUGGGAUAAGCACUGGAAACGGUGUCUAAUACUGGAUACGACCAACCCUUGCAUGGGGUGUUGGUGGAAAGAUUUAUCGGUGAUGGAUGGACUCGCGGCCUAUCAGCUUGUUGGCGGGGUAAUGGCCCACCAAGGCGACGACGGGUAGCCGGCCUGAGAGGGUGACCGGCCACACUGGGACUGAGACACGGCCCAGACUCCUACGGGAGGCAGCAGUGGGGAAUAUUGCACAAUGGGCGAAAGCCUGAUGCAGCGACGCCGCGUGAGGGAUGACGGCCUUCGGGUUGUAAACCUCUUUCAGCAGGGAAGAAGCGAAAAUGACGGUACCUGCAGAAGAAGCACCGGCUAACUACGUG